rnacentral:rRNA from 1 species
GAUGAACGCUGGCGGCGUGCCUAAUACAUGCAAGUCGAGCGAACAGACGAUGCGCUUGCUCCUCUGUCGUUAGCCGAGGACGGGUGUGUAACAUGUGGAUAACCUACCUAUAAGUCUGGGAUCACUUCGGGACACCGGCGCUAAUCCCGGAUAAUCUCUUGCACCGCAUGGUUCAAUAGUGAAAGUCGGUUUUGCUGUCACUUAUAGCUGGAUCCGCGCCGCAUUAGCUAGUUGGUAAGGUAACGGCUUACCAAGGCGACUAUGCGUAGCCGACCUGAGAGGGUGGUCGGCCACACGAGAACGUGGACACGGUCCAGACUCCUACGGGAGGCAGCAGUAGGGAAUCUGCCGCAGUGGUCGAAAGCCUGACGGAGCGACGCCGCGUGAGUUAUGGAGGUCUUGCGAGCGUAAAGCUGUGUUAUGAGGGGUGAACAAAUGUGGAAGGAGCUAUGCAGGGCUUGACGGUACCUAGUCAGAAAGCCACGGCUAACUACGUG